AUUGAACGCUGGCGGCAGGCCUAACACAUGCAAGUCGAACGGUAACAGGAAGCAGCUUGCUGCUUCGCUGACGAGUGGCGGACGGGUGAGUAAUGUCUGGGAAACUGCCUGAUGGAGGGGGAUAACUACUGGAAACGGUAGCUAAUACCGCAUAAUGUCGCAAGACCAAAGAGGGGGACCUUCGGGCCUCUUGCCAUCGGAUGUGCCCAGAUGGGAUUAGCUAGUAGGUGGGGUAACGGCUCACCUAGGCGACGAUCCCUAGCUGGUCUGAGAGGAUGACCAGCCACACUGGAACUGAGACACGGUCCAGACUCCUACGGGAGGCAGCAGUGGGGAAUAUUGCACAAUGGGCGCAAGCCUGAUGCAGCCAUGCCGCGUGUAUGAAGAAGGCCUUCGGGUUGUAAAGUACUUUCAGCGGGGAGGAAGGGAGUAAAGUUAAUACCUUUGCUCAUUGACGUUACCCGCAGAAGAAGCACCGGCUAACUCCGUGCCAGCAGCCGCGGUAAUACGGAGGGUGCAAGCGUUAAUCGGAAUUACUGGGCGUAAAGCGCACGCAGGCGGUUUGUUAAGUCAGAUGUGAAAUCCCCGGGCUCAACCUGGGAACUGCAUCUGAUACUGGCAAGCUUGAGUCUCGUAGAGGGGGGUAGAAUUCCAGGUGUAGCGGUGAAAUGCGUAGAGAUCUGGAGGAAUACCGGUGGCGAAGGCGGCCCCCUGGACGAAGACUGACGC
rnacentral:rRNA from 1 species